rnacentral:rRNA from 1 species
AGAGCUGCAUGGCUCGGUGUGAAAAACUCCGGUGGUAUGGGAUGGGCCCGCGUCUGAUUAGGCAGUUGGCGAGGUAACGGCCCACCAAACCGACGAUCAGUAGCCGGCCUGAGAGGGCGACCGGCCACAUUGGGACUGUGACACGGCCCAAACUCCUACGGGAGGCAGCAGUGGGGAAUAUUGCACAAUGGGGGAAACCCUGAUGCAGCGACGCCGCGUGAGCGAAGAAGUAUUUCGGUAUGUAAAGCUCUAUCAGCAGGGAAGAUAAUGACGGUACCUGACUAAGAAGCCCCGGCUAACUACGUGCCAGCAGCCGCGGUAAUACGUAGGGGGCAAGCGUUAUCCGGAUUUACUGGGUGUAAAGGGAGCGUAGACGGCAAGGCAAGUCUGAUGUGAAAACCCAUGGCUUAACCCUGGGACUGCAUUGGAAACUGUCUGGCUUGAGUGCCGGAGAGGUAAGCGGAAUUCCUAGUGUAGCGGUGAAAUGCGUAGAUAUUAGGAAGAACACCAGUGGCGAAGGCGGCUUACUGGACGGUAACUGACGUUGAGGCUCGAAAGCGUGGGGAGCAAACAAGAUUAGAUACCCUGGUAGUCCACGCCGUAAACGAUGAAUGCUUAGGGUUGGGGAGCAAAGCUCUUCUGCGCCGCAGCCAACGCAUUAAGCAAUCCACCUGGGGAGUACGUUUGCAAGAAUGAAAUCAAAGGAAUUGCCGGGGACUCGCACUCGCGGACGAGCAUGUUGUUUAAUUCGAAGCAACGCGAAGAACCUUAACAAGUUCUUACAUCCCGCGGAGCGGUUGGUAAAGGAUCUCUCUCUUCGGAGCAUAGGAGACAGGUGGUGCUCGGUUGUGAUCAGGUCGUGUCUUGCGAUGUCGGGGUAAGUCCUGCAACGAGCGCAACCCUUAUCGUUAGUAGCCAGCAGGUAAAGCUGGGCACUCUGUGGAGAAAUCCAGGGAUAACCCGGAGGAAGGCGGGGAAGACGUCAAAUCAUCACCCCCCUUAUGAUCUGGGCUACACACUGUGAUACAAUGGCGUAAACAAAGGGAGGCAAAGCUGCGAGGUGGAGCAAAUCCCAAAAAUAACGUCUCAGUUGGGCAGGCAGUUGGCAAUUAUACUGCGAGAAGAUUGAAUCGCUAGUAAUCGCGAAUCAGAAUGUAGCGGUGAAUACGUUCCCGUCUUGAGCCCU